rnacentral:rRNA from 1 species
AAGAGUUUGAUCAUGGCUCAGAUUGAACGCUGGCGGCAGGCCUAACACAUGCAAGUCGGGCGGUAGCACAAGGGAGCUUGCUCCCUGGGUGACGAGCGGCGGACGGGUGAGUAAUGUCUGGGAAACUGCCUGAUGGAGGGGGAUAACUACUGGAAACGGUAGCUAAUACCGCAUAACGUCUUCGGACCAAAGAGGGGGACCUUCGGGCCUCUUGCCAUCGGAUGUGCCCAGAUGGGAUUAGCUAGUAGGUGGGGUAAAGGCUCACCUAGGCGACGAUCCCUAGCUGGUCUGAGAGGAUGACCAGCCACACUGGAACUGAGACACGGUCCAGACUCCUACGGGAGGCAGCAGUGGGGAAUAUUGCACAAUGGGCGCAAGCCUGAUGCAGCCAUGCCGCGUGUGUGAAGAAGGCCUUCGGGUUGUAAAGCACUUUCAGCGGGGAGGAAGGGAACAGGCUUAAUACGUCUGUUCAUUGACGUUACCCGCAGAAGAAGCACCGGCUAACUCCGUGCCAGCAGCCGCGGUAAUACGGAGGGUGCAAGCGUUAAUCGGAAUGACUGGGCGUAAAGCGCACGCAGGCGGUCUGUUAAGUUGGAUGUGAAAUCCCCGGGCUUAACCUGGGAACUGCAUUCAAAACUGACAGGCUAGAGUCUCGUAGAGGGGGGUAGAAUUCCAGGUGUAGCGGUGAAAUGCGUAGAGAUCUGGAGGAAUACCGGUGGCGAAGGCGGCCCCCUGGACGAAGACUGACGCUCAGGUGCGAAAGCGUGGGGAGCAAACAGGAUUAGAUACCCUGGUAGUCCACGCUGUAAACGAUGUCGAUUUGGAGGUUGUGCCCUUGAGGCGUGGCUUCCGGAGCUAACGCGUUAAAUCGACCGCCUGGGGAGUACGGCCGCAAGGUUAAAACUCAAAUGAAUUGACGGGGGCCCGCACAAGCGGUGGAGCAUGUGGUUUAAUUCGAUGCAACGCGAAGAACCUUACCUACUCUUGACAUCCAGCGAACCUUGUAGAGAUACGAGGGUGCCUUCGGGAACGCUGAGACAGGUGCUGCAUGGCUGUCGUCAGCUCGUGUUGUGAAAUGUUGGGUUAAGUCCCGCAACGAGCGCAACCCUUAUCCUCUGUUGCCAGCACUUCGGGUGGGAACUCAGGGGAGACUGCCGGUGAUAAACCGGAGGAAGGUGGGGAUGACGUCAAGUCAUCAUGGCCCUUACGAGUAGGGCUACACACGUGCUACAAUGGCGUAUACAAAGAGAAGCGACCUCGCGAGAGCAAGCGGACCUCAUAAAGUACGUCGUAGUCCGGAUUGGAGUCUGCAACUCGACUCCAUGAAGUCGGAAUCGCUAGUAAUCGUAGAUCAGAAUGCUACGGUGAAUACGUUCCCGGGCCUUGUACACACCGCCCGUCACACCAUGGGAGUGGGUUGCAAAAGAAGUAGGUAGCUUAACCUUCGGGAGGGCGCUUACCACUUUGUGAUUCAUGACUGGGGUGAAGUCGUAACAAGGUAACCGUAGGGGAACCUGCGGUUGGAUCACCUCCUUA